AGUGAACGCUGGCGGCGUGCUUGACACAUGCAAGUCGAACGAGAACGGGUUAUAGCUUGCUAUAAUUGUCAGCUAAGUGGCGCACGGGUGAGUAAUGUAUAGGUAAUAUGCCUCUUACUAAGGGAUAACAAAUGGAAACGUUUGCUAAUACCUUAUACUCCUUAUUAACAGAAGUUAAUAAGGGAAAGAUUUAUUGGUAAGAGAUUAGCUUGUAUUGUAUCAGUUAGUUGGUGGGGUAAUGGCUUACCAAGACUAUGACACAUAACUGGUUUGAGAGGAUGAUCAGUCACACUGGAACUGAGACACGGUCCAGACUCCUACGGGAGGCAGCAGUGGGGAAUAUUGCACAAUGGACGAAAGUCUGAUGCAGCAACGCCGCGUGGAGGAUGACACAUUUCGGUGCGUAAACUCCUUUUAUAUGAGAAGAUAAUGACGGUAUUAUAUGAAUAAGCACCGGCUAACUCCGUGCCAGCCGCCGCCGUAA
rnacentral:rRNA from 1 species